rnacentral:tRNA from 1 species
AGAAGUGUAAACCUUUUUAUUUACC